rnacentral:rRNA from 1 species
UACAGAGGUCUCAAGCGUUGUUCGGAUUCAUUGGGCGUAAAGGGUGUGUAGGUGGCGCCGUAAGUCGGGUGUGAAAUUUCGGAGCUUAACUCCGAAACUGCAUUCGAUACUGCGGUGCUUGAGGACUGGAGAGGAGACUGGAAUUCAUGGUGUAGCAGUGAAAUGCGUAGAUAUCGUAAGGAAGACCAGUGGCGAAGGCGGGUCUCGGGACAGUUCCUGACACUGAGGCACGAAGGCCAGGGGAGCAAACGGG